GACGAACGCUGGCGGCGUGCCUAAUACAUGCAAGUCGAACGCACUCUCGUUUAGAUUGAAGGAGCUUGCUCCUGAUUGAUAAACAUUUGAGUGAGUGGCGGACGGGUGAGUAACACGUGGGUAACCUGCCCUAAAGUGGGGGAUAACAUUUGGAAACAGAUGCUAAUACCGCAUAAAACCUAAACACCGCAUGGUGUAGGGUUGAAAGAUGGUUUCGGCUAUCACUUUAGGAUGGACCCGCGGUGCAUUAGUUAGUUGGUGAGGUAAAGGCUCACCAAGACCGUGAUGCAUAGCCGACCUGAGAGGGUAAUCGGCCACACUGGGACUGAGACACGGCCCAGACUCCUACGGGAGGCAGCAGUAGGGAAUCUUCCGCAAUGGACGAAAGUCUGAUGGAGCAACGCCGCGUGAGUGAAGAAGGUUUUCGGAUCGUAAAACUCUGUUGUUGGAGAAGAAUGUAUCUGAUAGUAACUGAUCAGGUAGUGACGGUAUCCAACCAGAAAGCC
rnacentral:rRNA from 1 species